CAUCGAGCACGGCAUUGCUAGUCGGUCAAGGGAGGUGAUUGUCCCGCUCUACUCUGCACUCUGCGGCCACACCUCGAGUACUGUGUGCAGUUUUGGCCACCACAGCACAAGAAGGACGUGAAACUAUUGGAGAGUGUCCAGAGAAGGGCCACAGAGAUGGUGAAGGGCCUUGAGGGGAAGAUGUAUGCCUUCAGCCAGUUCUCUUAGUACUCUGGGAUGAAUCCCAUCAGGCCCUAUAGUCUUGUAUGAAUUCAUCUGGAGCAGAAAAUCCCACACAAACUCGGAGUUGUUGAGAUUUUAUCGUUCCUGCAGUCACUGUCCUCCAGCUCAGGGCACCUGGAGUCCCACAGCCCAGCAUCAGUCUUAAAGGCAAAGAAAGCAUUAAAGAUCUCUGUGAAGUCGAUGACUCUGUUGGACCAUCCGCAUCUAGUAACAGACCAAUGCUUUCUCUCAUCCUACUUUUCCUGUUAAGAGAGUUUUAAAAAAAGCAUUUUAUUGCCCCUCACGGUACUGUCCAGCUUCAACUCAAAUUAAGUUUUGGCCAUAUGAAUUUUCUCCCUACAAAGGCAAACAGUAUCUCUGUAGUCCUUCCAUGUUGCCUGACUUCCCUUCCAGCAAACAGAAACUUUCCUCAUCUACCUACGAUCUAGAAGAAGGUCCCCUCCUAUCUGAGCCAACCUUCUACCACGGCUGCUUUACUGGAGACGGGAGAGGCACUAGCACUUUGCCUUCAGCACCCUGGGCAAAGGGUGGCAGCUCUGGGCUCGACACCCAGCUGUGCCCGGUUUCCUGCAGCCUCCAAUCCUGCUCAGCUCUUCACUGCCAUCUCUCCACAUUGUCCCAUUGCUCAUAGUUUGAUUCCUCCUUACAUGCAUGGAGAUGAACGAACAUAGCCAGUGGCUUUCCAUGGAGGUCUGGAGAGGCCCCUGCUGGGGACAAGCACCUUGUGCUUGCUAAAGGCAGUGGACUGGGCACCCAGCUGCAAUGGGAUGGUGGUGCCAGCCCUGCAGAGCUCCCCAGACAUUGCCCUAGGGGCAGAGCUGCUCCAGGAGUGUUAUUGCAGCCAGGAACUGGGCAAAGGUUGGGAAAGUUGGGCGGAGCCUUGUGCUUUCUGCAGCUCUGCUGGGUGCCGUGAGGGACAUCUACCUUGGCUUGGAGAAAAACACCUGGGGGGCCACCUGCCCCCCGAGGGACCUCAAUCUCCGAUGGGGCUCCCCUGGGGCUGUGGCUGCCCCAACCUCACCACCUAUGCCAGGGGCCUCCUGACUUUCCUCGUCACUCUGCUGGGCUCAGCCCAGCUCACAGUGGUGGGAACAGGACACCCUGUCACUGCCACUGUGGGGCAGGAUGUCGUGCUGCCCUGCCACUUG
rnacentral:lncRNA from 1 species